GCGCGGGAUCCAUGGUUCAGCUUCCACGUGAGAGCGUACGUGUUCCUCGCACCUGCGGCGGACAAAUGGGUCCCGCGCAU
rnacentral:sRNA from 1 species